rnacentral:rRNA from 1 species
AGACGGAGGGGGCUAGCGUUAAUCGGAAUUACUGGGCGUAAAGCGCGCGUAGGCGGUUUGUUAAGUCGGAUGUGAAAUCCCCGGGCUCAACCUGGGACCUGCAUCCGAUACUGGCAGGCUAGAGUCUGAUAGAGGGGGGUAGAAUUCCUGGUGUAGCGGUGAAAUGCGUAGAUAUCAGGAGGAAUACCAGUGGCGAAGGCGGCCCCCUGGACUGAGACUGACGCUGAGGUGCGAAAGCGUGGGGAGCAAACAGAAUUAGAAACCCCAGUAGUCC